rnacentral:tRNA from 2 species
GGUUGUGUAGUGUAGCGGUUAUCACCUUGGAUUCUGACUAGCUGUUGAUUUCCAAUAACCCCGGUUCGAUUCCGGGCACGACCU